GACGAACGCUGGCGGCGUGCCUAAUACAUGCAAGUAGAACGCAGUUGCGAACGGGUGAGUAAUGCGUAGUUAACUGCCUCAUAGCGGGGGAUAACUAUUGGAAACGAUAGCUAAUACCGCAUACUGUGAGAUGGACCUGCGGUGUAUUAGCUAGUUUGUGCGGUAAAGGCAAAUCAAGGCGACGAUACAUAGCCGACCUGAGAGGGGUAUCGGGCACACAUGGACUGGGAAAAUGCCCAAACUCCGAAUGGGGGGAGGAGGAGGGAAUCUUCGGUAAUGGACGGAAUGCUUACCGGGCAACGCCGGGGUAGUGAAGAAGGUUUUCGGAACGUGAAGCUUGUUUGUUCGAGGAGCGGUAACUAACCAGAAAGCGACGGCUAACUACGUGCCAGCAGCCGCGGUAAUUC
rnacentral:rRNA from 1 species